CUGAACCAGCCAAGUAGCGUGAAGGAUGAAGGUCCUACGGAUUGUAAACUUCUUUUAUACGGGAAUAAAGUAUCCUACGUGUAGGAUUUUGUAUGUACCGUAUGAAUAAGGAUCGGCUAACUCCGUGCCAGCAGCCGCGGUAAUACGGAGGAUGCGAGCGUUAUCCGGAUUUAUUGGGUUUAAAGGGAGCGUAGACGGGUUUUUAAGUCAGUUGUGAAAGUUUGCGG
rnacentral:rRNA from 1 species